rnacentral:lncRNA from 1 species
AGCAGAAUUUAAAGGUUGCCUCAACAUCAUAUUGUUGCAUGUACUACAAAUUUACUAGAAUACCAAAUGUGGACAUUCAUGCUCUACAGUUCUACAUAAGACAAUCCAAGUAAAAUCAUACUCGUAAAGCAUAUUGAAGUGGCCUUUGUUGGCACCUAGUUUCAAACAAAACAUAUCUAUUUCUACAAGUAUGUCUAUGGUCCCCGAAAAACCUUCAAAAUAAACACUUAAUAACUGAUAUGGUUUUCUUAAAAUUGAUAAAUCUUAAUGCAUUUCCCACUCACUCAUAAAAAAAGUUGUGUAGAAAAAGUUUCUUAAGAAAAACUAGUAUGGGUUCUCAAGAAAUCCAUCAUCAUUUUCACCAUCUAGCAUCCACGAAAGGAUUAGACAUACCAACAAAGCUGAUAUUUACUAAAUAUUGAAGCUAAAGAAAUUGUAUCAAUAUUUUUCUCAAAUUUAAAUAAAUAAUUAUACAAAACCACACCCCUUUGUGAAUUUUUUUAAGUAAAAAUUUAAAGUUUAAAUGCAUCAUUAAGAAUUAUUGACAUAUCAACUAUGUUGGCACCCAAGUAAUCCAACAAUCAUCUACGACACCCCGAAAAAAAAUCAUUCAAAACCAUCUGUGAGUUUUAAUAUCGCUUCAAACAGU